rnacentral:rRNA from 1 species
CAGCCGUAAACGAUGCGCGUUAGGUGUAUCGAUGACCACGAGUCAUCGAGGUGCCGAAGGGAAACCGUGAGACGCGCCGCCUGGGAAGUACGGUCGCAAGGCUGAAACUUAAAGGAAUUGGCGGGGGGAGGCACCACAACAGGUGGAGCCUGCGGUUUAAUUCGGACUCAACGCCGGAAAUCUCACCGGAUAAGACAGCUGAAUGAUAGCCGGGCUGAAGACUCUGCUUGACUAGCUGAGAGGUGGUGCAUGGCGUCAGUGACU